AUGCGCCUCCCGCCGCCGGCCACCCAUCGCCGACGCCGCAGGCUGUGGAUCCAGCGGAGGGCUUCACGGAGUCGGGAGCAGAACCUCGCUCGCACACCUGCAUUUGGGCCGCCGUCGAAGGGCCGUGCUCUAACUCCCUCCUGCCUCACUCAGGAUGAUCGAACUGCAUCGCGUGGAGGAGUUGACCCGCUUGCGUGGCUGGCUUCUAUUCAUCGUCGUCGGGGCUUCUACCUAGCUGCUUGGCAUGUCGGUCAGCACUCCCUCCCCCUCCCUACAGUCGUCCAGCUCCACCCAUCUGAGCUUCCUCCAGGUAGCACUCACCUGCACCGUGCUUCCCACACUGUCAUGCAUCAACAAGGAGGCAAGGUGCUUCUCCUUCUCACCUCAGCCAGUGGCUUCUCCUCCUGA
rnacentral:rRNA from 1 species